AGGAAAACAGCUCACAUCAUAUUUAAAGUGUUUUAAUGGUUUGAAAACAUGCUGAACACACUGUAAACAUGGCUUAUAGAAAGCUACAUUCUUGGUGGUUUCUCCUUUUGUUUCCAUGACACAUCAUCAUUUAUACUGUAAUGCUGAUUUUAAACAAUAUGUUUUCCGUUAUCUAUGGUUCAUGUAAUAUUCACAGUAAGAAUAGCUGAAGAUAUCAUGUGUAAAGCAGAGGUGAUUUCCAGGCAUGUUUUCACUCUGCAGAUAUAAUAACAGUCAACAGACUCUUCUAUUGGCUCCAGUCAGACCAACAUUGAUGCUUCACAUGUUUGAUUCUAUGCAAACUCAGUGAGCUUCCUUGUUACUCAGCUAUAAAAACUUCCCAUCAGGCUGUCAGUGGAGUUCACAGCACGUCAGUUUCAACAUCAACCAUGUUUUCUGUAGCUCUGCUGCUGCUGUUGGCAGCUGGAUGUGUGAAGUGUGAACAGUUGACACAGCCAGCCUCUGUGACAGUGCAGCCAGGUCAACGUCUGACCAUCACCUGUCAGGUCUCUUAUUCUCUUGGCUACUGGACAGCUUGGAUCAGACAGCCUGCAGGGAAAGGACUGGAGUGGAUUGGAGUGAAAAGUACUGGAAGCUCAUACUACAAAGAUUCACUAAAGAACAAGUUCAGUAUCGAUUUAGACUCUUCCAGCAACACAGUGACUCUAAAUGGACAGAAUGUGCAGUCUGAAGACACUGCUGUGUAUUACUGUGCCAGAGCACCACAGUAAGAGACAGUAAUAGGAGUGUCAUACAAAAACUACUUCCUCUAUUUAUCACCACUGGAAACAUUGACUUGUCUCUGUAUCACAUUUUUGUGACUGACUGUCAAGUCAUGAAAGUUCAGAGUUUUGACUCAAUAUUGAAUUCUUAUUGUACAUAAAGCAAAAUAUAAAUGUUUAAAUUGAAUUGAAAAUUUGUCACUCAAAAAAUUAUGAAAAGAAUCUUGUUUGGCCGUCCAACAUCUCCCAAGAAACAUCUGAAAUUAAAACAGUUUUACAAAUGCAUAUAGAAUAAACCAAUUUCAUGAUGAAAUAGAGAGUAAAUGCAGCAGUAUACUUUACAGAAUCAAGUUUAUUUCAGUUGUAUUGUUUUAUAUCAGGUAUUACAGUAUCACCCAUUUCUGUCAUUGCUAUUUGUCCAUUCAUUAAUAAACAUGAACAACAUUUAUCUUUUCGUGUCAGAUUUAUUGAGGCUGUUGAUGUGUAAAUGUGUUUUUCUCUCAAAAACAGGAAUGUUAACAAAUUGUUUCCACUAAUAAUCACAGUUUUUUACCAUCUGUAAAACUGUGAAGGAUUUUGUGUCAUUCAGUAAUUACACAUUUGAAUGUCCUGUAUCAGGCUUCUACAUCUCAGCUCAGUUUCUAGAGAACAACAAAACGUCUUUACACAUUUAAGUGAAAGAGAUACAGAUUUACAUUAUGAUAUUAUCAAGUGACCGAGGUCCAAACUUUCAAAUAGUGCACUGAAAAAAUAAAUGAGGGCAUGUGUAAAAAAAAUCCCCAGGUAAACAUUUGUUUUUAGCGCCAAAGAAGAAUCAUAGAGCAGUGCUCAUCUUGAAUUACUAAAGAAAAGAAUCUCCAUCCCCCCAAAAAAUCAAAAACACCCACAUAAAAAUAAUCACAAAAUCUGCUUAGUAUCAUGUUGACACAACAUUUAGACAUUUUUCAAAAUAUGCUUUCUUGCUGAGAUCUGUGUUGUUCUCAUAUUGCUCUAUAAAAGCAAGAAAUCUCUGUCUGUCUGUCUGU